rnacentral:rRNA from 1 species
GACGAACGCUGGCGGCGUGCUUAACACAUGCCAGUCGAACGGAAAGGCCCCUUUGGGGGUACUCGAGUGGCGAACGGGUGAGUAACACGUGAGUAACCUGCCCUUGACUUCGGGAUAACUUCAGGAAACUGGGGCUAAUACCGGAUAGGAAUCCUUGCUGCAUGGUGGGGGUUGGAAAGCUUCGGCGGUUUUGGAUGGACUCGCGGCUUAUCAGCUUGUUGGUGGGGUAGUGGCUUACCAAGGCUUUGACGGGUAGCCGGCCUGAGAGGGCGACCGGCCACAUUGGGACUGAGAUACGGCCCAGACUCCUACGGGAGGCAGCAGUGGGGAAUAUUGCACAAUGGGCGGAAGCCUGAUGCAGCAACGCCGCGUGCGGGAUGACGGCCUUCGGGUUGUAAACCGCGUUCAGCAGGGGCGAAGCUUGUGGUGACGGUACCUGCAGAAGAAGCACCGGCUAACUACGUG